GGGCAUGGUCCCCAGAGGUUAUAAAUCAGCAGUGAGACAAGCUUACACAGGGCUUGGAUCUGAGGCUGUAGUUGGAGUAAUAGAGCUGCUGCAUGUCUGAGGAAUGAAUCUUGGUUCAAACAGUGUCUGUAGCAGAACUGAGACCAGAGUUCUUGAUCUUCACUCUUCAGACUCUUGCUCCGUAUGCUCAACUGUUUUGUACACUACUUUGUUUGGAUGAAAGGAAACUUCUAUCUGAAACAUGUCAUGAGUGUCUACUGACUGGUUUCUGCCAUUCUGACAGUUUUUGUAUGGUUUAGAAGCAAAUGUUGUUGGAAAAACUGUGCAACUUGGUACUGAAGGGAGGUUUGUUCCUAUAGGAGUUAAGGAUUUUGGUUAGGAACAGUGUAGAAAUGUGUUCUGCUGCUGACUAUGUGGCACCUAUUAUUUAGGAAAGGAAAGGUGCUGGACAUCUAGAUUUUCUUUCUGGAAUGCUUCCCUAAAGUCAAACCUUUUGGUAAGAAAGGCAUUGCAUGGACUGUCAGGAGCGACAUUACUUAUCUCCUCUAUGAAGGGGAUCAGCUGGGGCAGCCGCAACCUGUGUUAGCAAGGCCAUAAGUCUGCUGUGAAGCAAUUUCACUGGUGCCAUCUCACUCCAUUGAAGGAACUGAAAUAAGGACUCUUUGAAGAAGUGUUGAACUUGCAAAAAAGUUUCCCAGAUUGUUAGUGUUUGCCAACAAAUCUGUCUUGUUUUUGUAAUUUAGUAACAGCUGCUGUCUUCAUUAUCACUUCUCUUAUUGCAGGCCUUUAUCUGAGUGAUAUUGCAUAACAAUUUUCUCUACAGCUCUCAAGAAUAUCUGUGUAGAGCAGAGCUCUGGAUGCUAGUGGUCCAUGUCAAAUUUAAAACAGAAAUAGCACUUUUAAUUAAAGUAGACUUACAAGAAUUGUGGUACAUAUUAAGUAUCUACUAAAGGCAUAUUUUCUGUUCAAGAUAAAUCACAGUUCUCUUGCCAGUGUUUGAAAUAUUCUGAUAGAGGGUGCUGGUGCUUUAUUUUAACGUCUAAAAAUGGGUCAGCUUCACUUGCCUUUGUUUUUAAAUCUCACUGGAUUUUUUUUUGUUGAUAAUAAACCCUUAGGAAAAG
rnacentral:lncRNA from 7 species